GUUUUAUCAGAAUCUGACUGUUACGUCUGUGUUGCCUAAUCCUCUCCUGAAGUUUUCUUUCUAGCAAUAAUUUUGAAGAGAUUCCUGAAGGGAAUGAAUGGCAGCCAACAUUUUUCAUACCUUACAGAACGUCUUCUCAUGGUCACCAGGCACUGUGACAAUAACUAACCGCCAUUUCUGGACAGGUGACCUACCUCGUCCAACUAGGAUUCUCUGCCCAAAGUUUUGACUGCAGCCAUUAGCAUCUGGAGACAUUUCAACAGAGAUCUUGUGGGACAUCCCACAUCAAGUCUAUAUCAGAUGAAAGGAUACUUAAUACCUAAUGCUGAAUGUGCCUAUUAGUGCUUAUGGAUGAGCUUGCCAUGAGAGUUGUAAAACUGUAAUUUAGAACAUGAAACUCUCCAGUGUAAAAUCAUUCAUAUAAGGAAUGUUAAGGAAGAUCCACACUCACUCACUGGUGACUGGCCCCAUUGAAUUACCUAAAGGCCCACAAGAACCAAAAAAGAAAAACACAGGGGAAAGAAAGAAAAGGAGAAAGGGGCCAAAGAAUCUCAAAUGUAUUGUGACCCUUUAAUCUCGGAGAUGAAGAGAAGAAUGUUCGAAAUACAGAAAGGGCAGUAUGAAACCUAACAGAACAACAGGAAAUUACUGAAAUGUGGCCUUGUAGUAAAACUGUAGCCUGACCACAUCCGGAUAUGUUGGAACAUGUGGAUUUAGACAUUAUCUCAUUUUAAAUCUUGUAGGCUUCAGUGGCAAUGAAUUUUGGACCUAUGGACUUCAUAAAUGUAACUCAGAAAAAGUAUUUUGAAAUUAUUUUACAUGACUUCCGUUUUAGUUACUUUUAUCAUAGCUGAGACAAAAUUCCCAAACCUACAAGUUAAGGGAAGAAAGGUUUAUUUGGCUCACAGCUUGAAGAGGUUUCAUUCUAUAGUUUGCUGGAUCCAAAGAAGGCUGUCUCGGCAGACAGGCAUCGCAGCUGAGAAAGUUCAUGGUGGGCAGAAGGUAGCAAAGGAAGCAGGGACAAGACAAACCUCUUUCUGUGCCUUAUAUCCAGGCUACCAGGACUAGUGUGGUGCCAAACCAAUCCUUGGACUGAUUUAGGAAUCACCCACCCUUAAUGCUAGCACCUUAACCCUAGCAUGGUACCUUGAAUCAAUCACACACUCUAGAUUCAGCCAUCUCUGGAAAUCCCCACCUAGCUCUGCAGGUGAUUUUGGGGAGAGAUCUGGACAUAAGCCCUAACAACCUCACUCAUUAACAAAGUUGUCAUAGCAAAACCUUGGAAACAAUCCAAAUGCUUAUCAACUGAGGAAUGGAUCAA